GAUGAACGCUAGCGGCAGGCCUAAUACAUGCAAGUCGAGGGACAGCACAGGUAGCAAUACUGGGUGGUAACCGGCAAACGGGUGCGGAACACGUACACAACCUUCCUUUAAGUGGGGGAUAGCUCAGAGAAAUUUGGAUUAAUACCCCGUAAUAUAGUUGAAUGGCAUCAUUUGAUUAUUAUAGCUACGGCGCUUAAUGAUGGGUGUGCGGCUGAUUAGAUAGUUGGCGGGGUAACGGCCCACCAAGUCUACGAUCAGUAGCUGAUGUGAGAGCAUGAUCAGCCAAACGGGCACUGAGACACGGGCCCGACUCCUACGGGAGGCGGCAGUAAGGAAUAUUGGUCAAUGGACGCAAGUCUGAACCAGCCAUGCCGCGUGAAGGAUUAAGGUCCUCUGGAUUGUAAACUUCUUUUAUUUGGGACGAAAAAGGGCCUUUCUAGGUCAACUGACGGUACCAGAUGAAUAAGCACCGGCUAACUCCGUGCCAGCCGCCGCCGUAAUAC
rnacentral:rRNA from 1 species